CGCCAGGUAACCGAGCCCCGGUCGCCUCCAUGUUGACGCCGCCGCCGCCUCUCCGGUGAGCCGUCGCACCCCUCCUCACUCUUCGCUGCCUUGCCACCGUGGAGAUCCGCCGCGCCACCACGCUGUCCUUCGUCCAGCGUCCGGGUGUCAUACUCAACCUCGCCCCGCACGCGUCGUCGCCGACCUCCGCCCCGCCUGCGUUCAGCUAGCCAUGGCGAAUUGCCCCACUUUUCUUGCUAUGAUCCUCCCUUUCCUCGUUGCUGCGCUUCAUGUUAGCAGGCAGCUCACCGUUCCCUCCUCCUCCGGCCCCCAGCACAUCACGUCCUUAUCCUUCUCCCCACGCCAGGAGCCGCCAGGCCCCAUAGCGCAGUCGUCGUCCGAGAGCGAGGUCAAGCCCGAGGCUGCUGUAUUGGAGGAGGUCAUGAAGACAGGAUUGUCGGCCGUGGAUAUGGAUGAGAAAUUGGAGCAUCUAGCCAAGGUGCUUCGGCUGUUCGGCUACGAGCGCAUGGCAUCAGCGCUGCCGGUUACGGUGGACUCGAGAAUGCUGGCGAUCUGGCAUGGUCCUGUCACCGUCUUCGCUGUCCCAGAUGCUGCCUUCGAGGCCGCUUGCUCCGGCGGCCCGCUUCGUGCUCUUUUGCUCAAGCAAAUGGCCCUUGGGUCAUAUCCCGUCUCGAAGCUUUCCUCGUACCCAUCCUUGAGGCUUAGAACAGCUGCGUUUGGCUUUUGUCUCACAUCAGUGACUACGAUUGUGUGGUCGCCUUCCACUGAUGAUGUCACCAGAGUCGUUGGCAUGAACUCCGUGGAGAUUACUCGUCCUGACUUAUACAGUGACGGACACUUUGUUGUACACGGAGUGAAGAGCUACAUACACUUGCCGCUUUACGACUCGUGUACAUUCAUUCCCAAGGACCGGUCUUUCUUUGUGUCAAGAGUUCUGAACAAGAUACUACUCCCUCCGUUCCGAAUUACUUGUCGCACGUAUGGAUGUAUUUUAGUUCUAGAUACAUCCAUUUCAGCGACGGGUAAUUUGGGACGGAGGGAGUAGUUGCUAUUCUCGUCGGGCGUGAUCCAGCGGUUCCGCAGUAGUGUGUGCACUGUACCUGUCGUUUCAUGUGAUUCAAGUCAUUAGUAUUAUAUAUAACUAUAAUAUUAGAAAAUUGUAUGUGCUUUGCACAUCAUGAAGUAUAUAUUCAUGUGAUACAAGUCAUUAAUUGAUUAUGUAUAACUAUAAUAUUAGUAAAUUGUAUGUGCUUUGUACGUCAUGAAUGAAAUAUGUAACAUCAGGGAGAAUAUGCAUUCUUCAAAUUUUAUUUUCUUCCAUUAAUAUUACACAUGGCUCAACUCUCUAGAAUUAGAUUGUUCUAUUUUUUAUAUUGGAGAAUCUGAUUCUUGGGAUGGAGGAAAGAUGCUUCUAGAACAUCCCAAAAGUUAAGGGGAAUAAAACCAAGCGCUCACAAUCACUAGAGCUUAUGGGGCCGUCAGAUCCGAUUUAUAGCGCGAUCUUGGCUGUUGGAUCGCGGGUUCAAUGCACUUGGGCCAUCAGAUAUUUACCAGAGCGUUGUGCGCUCCUCACCGUCCCAGCUGCCGCCCCUGGUUGCAGGAGGUUUGUGAGUUUGGAGGCUUCCAGGUGAGGAUUUAGUUGAGCUACUGAUCUUGGUGUCCAUUGCCGCCUCGUAGUUCCGUUGGGCACGACUUCGGUUGGUCACAUGUUUCUUGGUUGUUCAGGAUCAGGGUUGGACCAUGUAGAGCACCAUGCCCAUCGAGGGUGACGGCUCUUGAGAAAGCUAUUGGGGUUUUUGCUGAGAAUCCUUCGAAGAGUGCAGUUGUGCCUGACCCAGGAAUAAGUUUUGACUUAUUAGGACAUGCGUACAAUUUCUUCAACCUAUAUUCUUGGGAGAAAGAUUUUGGUAUAAGAUAUGCGAAGAGUAGGUUAAAUGUAGAAACGACGAAAUGCAUGCAAGAGAUAGUGUGUGGAUGCGCGGGGAAAGCCGUAGUAGACAACACAUGGUCAUGCAGAUGUGAAUGCCCAGCCUUGGUAAGGUUGCUGAGGAGGUUCCACUGGUCAGGUUUGACCUGGACCGCACAGUUGACCUGCUGACGUAGUGCUGACGAGUAAUGCCUUUU